rnacentral:rRNA from 1 species
CACAGAGGGUGCAAACGUUGCUCGGAAUUACUGGGCGUAAAGCGAGUGUAGGCGGACUUACAAGUCAGAUGUGAAAUCCCUGGGCUUAACCCAGGAACUGCAUUUGAAACUGUGAGUCUAGAGUAAUGGAGAGGAAAGUGGAAUUCCUGGUGUAGAGGUGAAAUUCGUAGAUAUCAGGAGGAACACCGGUGGCGAAGGCGGCUUUCUGGACAUUUACUGACGCUGAGACUCGAAAGCGUGGGGAGCAAACAGG